rnacentral:rRNA from 1 species
GACGUAGGGCGCGAGCGUUGUCCGGAUUUAUUGGGCGUAAAGGGCUCGUAGGCGGCCAACUAAGUCGGAUGUGAAAUCCCCAGGCUUAACCUGGGAACUGCAUCCGAUACUGGAUGGCUUGAAUCCGGGAGAGGGAUGCAGAAUUCCAGGUGUAGCGGUGAAAUGCGUAGAUAUCUGGAGGAAUACCGGUGGCGAAGGCGGCAUCCUGGACCGGCAUUGACGCUGAUGAGCGAAAGCUAGGGGAGCAAACGGG